UACGGAGGGGGCAAGCGUUGUUCGGAAUUAUUGGGCGUAAAGGGCGCGUAGGCGGCCGAUCAAGUCGGGUGUGAAAUCCCUCGGCUCAACCGAGGAACUGCACCCGAUACUGCUUGGCUAGAGUCCGGGAGGGGAUGGCGGAAUUCCCAGUGUAGCGGUGAAAUGCGUAGAUAUUGGGAAGAACACCGGUGGCGAAGGCGGCCAUCUGGACCGGUACUGACGCUGAGGCGCGAAAGCCAGGGGAGCGAAUGGG
rnacentral:rRNA from 1 species